UGAACGCUGGCGGCGUGCCUAAUACAUGCAAGUCGAGCGAACAGACGAGGAGCUUGCUCCUCUGACGUUAGCGGCGGACGGGUGAGUAACACGUGGAUAACCUACCUAUAAGACUGGGAUAACUUCGGGAAACCGGAGCUAAUACCGGAUAAUAUAUUGAACCGCAUGGUUCAAUAGUGAAAGACGGUUUUGCUGUCACUUAUAGAUGGAUCCGCGCCGCAUUAGCUAGUUGGUAAGGUAACGGCCUACCAAGGCAACGAUGCGUAGCCGACCUGAGAGGGUGAUCGGCCACACUGGAACUGAGACACGGUCCAGACUCCUACGGGAGGCAGCAGUAGGGAAUCUUCCGCAAUGGGCGAAAGCCUGACGGAGCAACGCCGCGUGAGUGAUGAAGGUCUGCGGAUCGUAAAACUCUGUUAUUAGGGAAGAACAAAUGUGUAAGUAACUAUGCACGUCUUGACGGUACUUAAUCAGAAAGCCACGGCUAACUACGU
rnacentral:rRNA from 1 species